rnacentral:rRNA from 1 species
AUUGAACGCUGGCGGCAGGCCUAACACAUGCAAGUCGAACGAGUGGCGGACGGGUGCGUAAUGUCUGGGAAACUGCCUGCUGGAGGGGGAUAACUCCUGGAAACGGUAGCUAAUACCGCAUACCAUCGGAUGUGCCCAGAUGGGAUUAGCUAGUAGGUGGGGGAAUGGCGCACCUAGGAGACGAUCCCUAGCUGGUCUUAGAGGAUGACAAGCCACACUGGAACUGAUACACGGUCCAGACUCCUACGGGAGGCAGCAGUGGGGAAGAUUGCACAAUGGGCGCAAGCCUGAUGCAGCCAUGCCGCGUGUAUGAAGAAGGCCUUCGGGUUGUAAAGUACUUUCAGUGGGGAGGCGUUACCCGAAGAAGAAGCACCGGCUAACUCGGGACCAGCCGCCGCAGUAAUAG